UCAAAACAAGAUCAGACGUUCCAAAACUAAUACGUCUUGCAUGUUCCUUUCAGCAACAGAAACUCAUGAGAAAACAUGAGAGCAAAGUAAUAUGCAAACACAGUAGAAGGAUUCAAAGAACAUAAUGGGAAAUACUGAUAUAAACAGUAGAAGAAACAUGCCUAAGAGAUUUUCUAGAAGAAACUUAAACAAGGCUCAGUAGAAGAAAAAAUAGUAAAAACACUUAAGAACACAGUAGAAUAAUAUAGUAGGCAAAACAUAACAGGAAAUGGUAGAAGAAAAUACCAUAACAUAGUAGAAAAGCAUACGAGAACACAGUAUAGGAAACACAAUAGAAGAACACACAAGAACAAGGUAUAGAAACACACAGUAGAAGAGCAUUCAUGGUAGAAGAAAAACAUAAGAAUACAAUAUAGGCAAAUACGCACAAAAGAAAGGAAAGAAAUUCAGAGAAACACUUAAACUUUUUCAGAAAUUCCUAGAUAGAAAAAGAAAAGUUUUGAAGGUAAUUUUCAAAAGAAAAGUUAGGGAAAUUGUUUGAAAACUCAAGGAAAGCAUACAUAUACAACGGAUCUGAAGAAAUCGAAGAAAACCCUCGAAGGGUUAGGGUUUCAGAGGAACCCUAGAAGUGAGAUAGGCUUUGAAAAGUCACCAAUCUAAGUCGAAGAGGUUAGAAUUAGGCUCGAUGAACCAUGGUAUGCUGAAAUAGAGCCGGAGAUGGCAGUGGAACCUUGAAUCGAUAGAGGUCUAUGUUUGACCCUUCAUAGUCAGACCUCAAAUCUUCAGGUAUCAGGUGCGUGGGAGCAAGAGAGGGUGGGUAGAGGGCUCUCACAGUCUUGGAAGCCAUAGAUUCUGGUGGAUUUCAGGGCGGAGGUGGCUAGGGAUAGAGAAGGUUCGAGAGUGUUUGAGAUAGAGGGAGAGUUCAGAGGCGGUU
rnacentral:lncRNA from 1 species